CCUACGGGAGGCAGCAGUGGGGGAUAUUGCACAAUGGGGGGAACCCUGAUGCAGCGACGCCGCGUGGGUGAAGGAGUGCUUCGGCAUGUAAAGCCCUAUCGGCAGGGAAGAAGCAAGACGGUACCUGACUAAGAAGCCCCGGCUAACUACGUACCAGCAGCCGCGGUAAUACGUAGGGGGCGAGCGUUAUCCGGAUUCACUGGGUGUAAGGGGAGCGUAGACGGCCAGGCAGGCCAGGGGUGAAAGCCCGGGGCCCAACCCCGGGACUGCCCUUGAAACUGUGCGGCUAGAGUGCGGGAGGGGCAGGCGGAAUGCCUGGUGUAGCGGUGAAAUGCGUAGAUAUCAGGAGGAACACCGGCGGCGAAGGCAGCCUGCUGGACCGCGACUGACGUUGAGGCUCGAAAGCGUGGGGAGCGAACAGGAUUAGAUACCCCUGUAGUC
rnacentral:rRNA from 1 species